UGCGAAGGGAAAAAACCGAAAACCGACAACGGAAAUUUCAAAUAUUGCACACCAAAGAACGAAACAAGUCUUCGAAAAAAAAGGGAAGCAGCCCCACGGUCACUACCAGACUGUGUAAUCCCUUACAGUGACGAAACCGAAAGAACAAUACUAGGCGCUGAGACGCCUGUACCCCUUGCUCGUGCUUCUGAAGAAAGCGAGAAGGAGACAGCUACCAAGAAGGGAAAGGCUGGCAAAAAAGGGGGAAAAGGACGCAAGAAGCGUGAGACCCAGCCGCGUGCAGAGUGCAAUGAAGACGGCGAUUGCCGAAAAGGGUGCAACUGCCGAGAUGAUGGAGCAGGCAAGAAAUUUUGCAUGCGCCAAGGCUGAAGAUGGCGAGUUUUGCAAUAGAGAUUGCUAUUAGUCUGCGAAGCC